rnacentral:rRNA from 1 species
CUACCCUAAUUGUAUUGGAUUUCUAACCCGCAGCACUUAUCGUGCUGGGAGACAGUGUCAGGCGGGCAGUUUGACUGGGGCGGUCGCCUCCUAAAGAGUAACGGAGGCGCUCAAAGGUUCCCUCAGAAUGGUUGGAAAUCAUUCAUAGAGUGUAAAGGCAUAAGGGAGCUUGACUGCGAGACCUACAAGUCGAGCAGGGUCGAAAGACGGACUUAGUGAUCCGGUGGUUCCGCAUGGAAGGGCCAUCGCUCAACGGAUAAAAGCUACCCCGGGGAUAACAGGCUUAUCUCCCCCAAGAGUUCACAUCGACGGGGAGGUUUGGCACCUCGAUGUCGGCUCAUCGCAUCCUGGGGCUGUAGUCGGUCCCAAGGGUUGGGCUGUUCGCCCAUUAAAGCGGUACGCGAGCUGGGUUCAGAACGUCGUGAGACAGUUCGGUCCCUAUCCGUCGUGGGCGUAGGAAAUUUGAGAGGAGCUGUCCUUAGUACGAGAGGACCGGGAUGGACAUACCUCUGGUGUACCAGUUGUCGUGCCAACGGCAUAGCUGGGUAGCUAUGUAUGGACGGGAUAAGUGCUGAAAGCAUCUAAGCAUGAAGCCCCCCU